rnacentral:misc_RNA from 1 species
AAGUCGUAACAAGGUAACCGUAGGUGAACCUGCGGUUGGAUCAUUACUAAAUACUUUGACCUGAGGUUGAGCUCAAUUUAUUUUUGAGAUCCCUCAGUGUCAUAAACAUUUUGUGCAUCUAUUGUGUAUUUGGGUUAUCUCUAUCUUUUUCUUUUUGGUAACACAAAAGAGUUGAAGUGAAAAGAUAACCCAACAAUGAAUGAAAAUAAACCAUUAUUCUUUUUUUUGACUGAAAUAAAUUGAAAAAUUUAUAAACAACUUUUGACAACGGAUCUCUUGGCUCUC